rnacentral:rRNA from 1 species
CAUUACAGAGUUCAUGCCCUUACGGGUAGAUCUCCCACCCUUAUGUUAUCAUCACUUUGUUGCUUUGGCGGGCCGUUAGGCUCACGCCCGACCACCGGCUCCGGCUGGUGAGCGCCCGCCAGAGGACCCAAAACCCUGAUUAUUAGUGUCGUCUGAGUACUAUAUAAUAGUUAAAACUUUCAACAACGGAUCUCUUGGUUCUGGCAUCGAUGAAGAACGCAGCGAAAUGCGAUAAGUAAUGUGAAUUGCAGAAUUCAGUGAAUCAUCGAAUCUUUGAACGCACAUUGCGCCCCUUGGUAUUCCGAGGGGCAUGCCUGUUUGAGUGUCAUGAUAUUCUCAACAAAAUUGUUGGAUAUUGGAGAAUGCUGGUUGUUGAAUCGGCUACUCUUGAAUGUAGAAAAUAAAAAUGUGAAGGUAAUAGAUUUUACUUCACUUUGACAUAUUCUCUAUGACCUCAAANCAGGUAGGAGUACCC